AUGAUGAAUGAUCAAAAAAAUAAUGAAUGAAUGAAUGUUCACUAUACAGUACUUCACUGACUGCGUUCUCCUAACAGGCCCUCUCUGCUGGUUGGGGACCUUUUCAAAUGGAAAGGAAGCAGGAGGUGAGGCUGUUUGCACCCUGGCUUCAUGAAGACUAUGCUCUCUGAGCAGACCCCAAAGACCAGAUGAGUUCUACCCUGUCAUUACCACACAGGAUCAACCAUGGUAGAGCCAGAGUCUCUUCCCCUCUCUCCACCCCAUCCCAGGAGAUGGUGUGUUUUUAUGGGAGGAUUCUGGACUAAAAAUUAAACACCAAUGUCCUGGACCCUUCAUCAUCACUGACUUGUUGAGUGAACUUGAGAAGGUCACCUAUCCCUGGGGCUUCAGUUUCCCCUGGGGAUAACUAUCUUUGCCUUUAUAGAGUUAUUACAUGAUUAAAUGAGCUAAUGAAUUGAAAGAGCUUUGCAGAUCAUAAAACGUGGUGCAUGGUGGUAAGACCGUGAUGAUAAUGAUACUGAGUGUGGCAUCUAAGAUAAGAUAAGGUCUUAACCAGGCAAAAUAUGCAAGCUCUUUGAGGGCAGAGCAUGUGGGUGAUUCUCUGAAGCCCCACAGGACCCACUAAGUCAUCACGUAGAUACUGAGUAAGUAAUUGAAUAGAACUGAAUUUCCUUCUUCGGGAGGUUUUAGGCCCAAGGAGGUGCUGUUCUCCCUCACCCGCUGUUCCCCAGGGGCCAGCUGCUCCUCCUUUUGCACCCAUCCCCCAUCCCUCCGAGCCUCAAGGAGAGAGCCUGGAAUCUGAAGUCUCCAGUUUCACCAAGUGCCUCCCCUGUACUCCUGUCACCAUGGCCUGUUGUUAUUACCAUGUGCAGUGUGGCUGACUGCCCGAAGGGAGGCAGAUGCACAGUGCCAGCAUCUGUGGAUCAAUCACUCCCUUUUGGAAACACUACUUAAUGCAAAACAGAAAACAACAGUUAUGCUAACUACAA